GAUGAACGCUGGCGGCGUGCUUAACACAUGCAAGUCGAACGUGAAGGCGAUAGCAAUAUUGCCGGAAAGUGGCAAACGGGUGAGUAACACGUAGGUACCUGCCUUGAAGAGGGGGAUAACCACGGGAAACUGUGGCUAAUACCGCAUAGUCUUAUUGAUACGGGAGUAUCGAUAAGUAAAGCUCUGGCGCUUCAAGAGGGGCCUGCGCCCGAUUAGCUUGUUGGUGAGGAAUGGCUCACCAAGGCGAUGAUCGGUAGCUGGUCUGAGAGGACGAUCAGCCACACGGGAACUGAGACACGGUCCCGACUCCUACGGGGGCAGCAGUGAGGAAUAUUGGGCAAUGGACGCAAGUCUGACCCAGCAACGCCGCGUGGAGGACGAAGGC
rnacentral:rRNA from 1 species